UUAAGUUCAGCAGGUAGUCCUACCUGAUUUGAGGUCAAGUUUGUCAAAGAGCAUGUGGUCGUUGGAAGCAGCACAUUUUACACGGCAUACCCAAAGGCAUAGACAGUAUUAUCACACCUAGCGGUUUUCCACUCCAGAUACCACUAAUGCUUUUCAGGGGAGCAGGCCCUCUCUGGGAAGAAAGCCGGCAACCCCCACGU
rnacentral:misc_RNA from 1 species